GUUUGAACCUGGCUCAGGAUGAACGCUGGCGGCGUGCCUAAUACAUGCAAGUCGAGCGAACCACUUCGGUGGUGAGCGGCGAACGGGUGAGUAACACGUAGGUGAUCUGCCCAUCAGACGGGGACAACGAUUGGAAACGAUCGCUAAUACCGGAUAGGACGAAAGUUUAAAGGUGCUUCUGGCACCGCUGAUGGAUGAGCCUGCGGCGCAUUAGCUAGUUGGUAGGGUAAAGGCCUACCAAGGCGACGAUGCGUAGCCGACCUGAGAGGGUGAACGGCCACACUGGGACUGAGACACGGCCCAGACUCCUACGGGAGGCAGCAGUAGGGAAUCUUCGGCAAUGGGCGAAAGCCUGACCGAGCAACGCCGCGUGAAUGAUGAAGGCCUUCGGGUUGUAAAAUUCUGUUAUAAGGGAAGAACGACUUUAGUAGGAAAUGGCUAGAGUGUGACGGUACCUUAUGAGAAAGCCACGGCUAACUACGUGCCAGCAGCCGCGGUAAUACGUAGGUGGCGAGCGUUAUCCGGAAUUAUUGGGCGUAAAGAGCGCGCAGGUGGUUGAUUAAGUCUGAUGUGAAAGCCCACGGCUUAACCGUGGAGGGUCAUUGGAAACUGGUCGACUUGAGUGCAGAAGA
rnacentral:rRNA from 1 species